UACGUAGGGGGCGAGCGUUGUCCGGAUUUAUUGGGCGUAAAGAGCUCGUAGGCGGUUUGGUAAGUUGGAUGUGAAAUCUCCAGGCUCAACUUGGAGGGGUCACUCGAUACUGCCAUGACUAGAGUUCGGUAGGGGAGUGUGGAAUUCCUGGUGGAGCGGUGAAAUGCGCAGAUAUCAGGAGGAACACCCGUAGCGAAGGCGGCACUCUGGGCCGGAACUGACGCUGAGGAGCGAAAGCGUGGGGAGCGAACAGG
rnacentral:rRNA from 1 species